GCCCCAACUGCCUUGGCAAGCUCCCCCCGUUCACCUCCACUUUCACCAGCACCACACCCUGAGUGGUUGAACUGGACAGCUCCUACCAUCACUGCUGUUGCCAUUGUUUCUGCUGCUGCCCCCUCUCAAGACAGGGGGAGAGCCCCUGCUGCAACACCUGACACCACACCUGCACUGGAUUACUUCCUAAAUGACUGAGAGCUCCUGCUCUCCCCAACAGCUACCUCACUGUAUCUGAUCCUGAUUUGUCUUCCUGCCUACUGCUCCGCUGUUGAGUGACCAGCUGGAGGCCUGAGGGGCUUCUGGACAGAUGUUCCACAAACAGAAUCUCCACUGCUCCAGCUGUCUUUUACACCUGCCUCAGCAGCCUUCUCUGUGUAGUUUUUGCCCUUCUGUGGUUGGCUGAUCUCCUACAUCCAGGCUUUAAACUACAUUCAAUGGGGGAUGGGGAUGCAGGAGAUGGAGAAAAUCUAAGACCUACAAUCUAUGAGACGCAACAGAAUAUCCCAAGUUGAAACAUUAAGAAACAUGAUCAAGAAAAAUGCUUCUGCUUCAGCAAGUAACUGCAGGAGAACACUCACUUAAUUAUCGUCUUUAUAACCAGUGGUGUGAAAAUGUAACACUACUCCACUCUCGCAAUAAAUGUUAGUAGUAUUAACAUGCUAAAGCUUCCUUUUCUUCUGACCAGUUUUCAA